UUGCCUACGGGACGCAGCAGUGAGGAAUAUUGGUCAAUGGCCGGAAGGCUGAACCAGCCAAGCCGCGUGAAGGACGAAGGUGCCAAGCAUUGUAAACUUCUUUUGUCAAGGGACAAAAUCAGGCUCGAGAGCCUGACCGAGGGUACUUGAAGAAAAAGCAUCGGCUAACUCCGUGCCAGCAGCCGCGGUAAUACGUAGGUGGCAAGCGUUGUCCGGAUUUAUUGGGCGUAAAGCGAGUGCAGGCGGUUCAAUAAGUCUGAUGUGAAAGGCUUCGGCUCAACCGGAGAAUUGCA
rnacentral:rRNA from 1 species